AUCGCUUCUCGGCCUUUUGGCUAAGAUCAAGUGUAGUACAAUCAAUGCUGAAAGAAUAAAGAACACAUUAGUAGAAGAUAGCAGUAGAUUAUUUUCUUUUUUUUUUUUAAGAUUUUAUUUAUUUAUUUGACAGACAAAGAUUACAAGUUGGCAGAGAGGCAGGCGGUGGGGGGUGGGAGGAAGCAGCUUCCCUCCU